UACGUAGGGGGCGAGCGUUAUCCGGAAUUACUGGGUGUAAAGGGAGCGUAGACGGCGAAGUAAGCCUGAAGUGGAAGCCCGCGGCCCAACCGCGGAACUGCUUUGGGAACUGCUUAGCUGGAGUAUGGGAGGGGUAAGCGGAAUUCCUGGUGUAGCGGUGAAAUGCGUAGAUAUCAGGAGGAACACCGGUGGCGAAGGCGGCCUACUGGACGGUGACUGACGCUGAGGCUCGAAAGCGUGGGGAGCAAACAGG
rnacentral:rRNA from 1 species